CAGGACGAACGCUGGCGGCGUGCUUCAUACAUGCAAGUCGAACGAGAAUCUGGCUUCGGUCAGAGGAAAGUGGCGGACGGGUGAGUAAUGUGUAGAGAAUCUGCCCUUUAGUGGGGGACAACAGUUGGAAACGACUGCUAAUACCCCAUAUGCGCGUAGCUGAGAUGCUAUUCGUGAAAACUCCGGUGCUAAAGGAUGAGUCUGCAUCUGAUUAGCUAGUUGGCGGUGUAAUGGACCACCAAGGCGACGAUCAGUAGCUGGUUUGAGAGGAUGAUCAGCCACAAUGGGACUGAGACACGGCCCAUACUCCUACGGGAGGCAGCAGUAGGGAAUUUUGCGCAAUGGGGGAAACCCUGACGCAAGCAACGCCGCGUGAUUGAAUAAGCCCUUCGGGGUGUAAAGAUCUGUCAGUAGGGACGAAACUUGACGGUACCUACAGAGGAAGCAUCGGCUAACUCCGUGCCAGCAGCCGC
rnacentral:rRNA from 1 species